rnacentral:rRNA from 1 species
GACGAACGCUGGCGGCGUGCUUAACACAUGCAAGUCGAACGGAAAGGCCUGUCCUUCCUUGUGUUGGACGGGUACUCGAGUGGCGAACGGGUGAGUAACACGUGAGUGAUCUGCCCCCAACUUGGGUAUAAGCCUGGGAAACUGGGUCUAAUUCCCGAUAGGACUGCAGGGUGGUGCCUGUGGUGGAAAACGAUUUUCUAGUGGUUGGGGAUGAGCUCGCGGCCUAUCAGCUUGUUGGUGGGGUAAUGGCCUACCAAGGCGGCGACGGGUAGCCGGCCUGGGAGGGUGGACGGCCACAUUGGGACUGAGAUACGGCCCAGACUCCUACGGGAGGCAGCAGUGGGGAAUAUUGCACAAUGGGCGGAAGCCUGAUGCAGCGACGCCGCGUGGGGGAUGACGGCCUUCGGGUUGUAAACUCCUUUCGACCGCGAGGAAGCCGCCUGGUUGGAAGGGUGGUGACGGUAGCGGUAGAAGAAGCACCGGCUAACUACGUG